GCGUUGCUCGGAAUCACUGGGCUUAAAGGGCGCGUAGGCGGCUUGCCAAGUCAGUGGUGAAAUCCCGCAGCUNAUAACUGCGGAAGUGCCUUUGAUACUGGCGAGCUCGAGGGAGGUAGGGGUAUGUGGAGCUUCUGGUGGAGCGGUGAAAUGCGUUGAUAUCAGAAGGAACGCCGGUGGCGAAAGCGACGUACUGNANCUNUUCUGACGCUGAGGCGCGAAAGCUAGGGGAGCAAACGGGAUUAGAUACCCCGGUAGUCCUAGCCCUAAACGAUGCGAACUGGACGUUGGGUGCAACUUGGCACUCAGUGUCGAAGCUNACGCGUUAAGUUCGCCGCCUGGGGAGUACGGUCGCAAGANUGAAACUCAAAGGAAUUGACGGAU
rnacentral:rRNA from 1 species